UGAAAACAAAGGAGCACAUGGAGUAGUGGGAGCCAACCGUGACAACAAAUAUAGUUUUCAUAGUUUUUCCUGCAGUUUUUUUCUUCUGUAAUUUUCUAUUUUGUCUUAUUUCCAAAUUCAGGAAAAUCUCUACAGCAAUGUGGCAGUAAGAUCUGCAACCAGUGAUGCAGCACCUGAUCCAGACACGUCUAACCAGGACGAUGUUCAUUAUGCCCGUGCUUUACCCCGGAGAGUCAGAAACCCCAGGAAUGCUGAGAGAUCUGUAGUGACAGCUUCUGCCUUUGGGGCUGAAGAGGAGGUUCACUAUGCCAGCGUCCAGCACCGCUAUGAUAAAGUGGUGGAGAUGACUGAAGGAGACAACAUUCAGUAUGCUAGUUUAAGAUUUACUCAUCCUGAUUCUACCAACAGCUCUACAGUUUACAGACUUGAUGAUGUCUCAGUGAUUUACAGCAAAAUGCCAUGAACAACUUUGCAGUUCUGUCCUGGACCAGUUUUAAGACCCAUGGACACAAUUUACAUCAAUGUCUAUGCUAUGGAAGCAGACAGCACUUUGGAGUUCUCCCUCAUUGCUUCAGUGACCAUCAUGCGGAUCAAUCCUCCUGAUUUCAACAGUGUUGUUGCAUUUUGCCAGUGGAGCACUUUAGCAUUAUGCUGUGUGAGGCGUAUAGUAAACGCAUGACUGCUAUAACAGGGACUUUAAUUGUUGUUAUUGUUGCUGGUUGCUCAGUAAGAUUUGUUUGUGUUUUGAGCUUUUUUGUGCUGAGUUGGGAUUAAGUAGAGUAGGUUUGUGUUUUUGUACCGAUCAAGAUAAAGUAGGGCUAGGAGUGACCUGUCUGUGUUUUCAGUUGCUUUUUGAGUGAGCUUUCUGCUUUAUACACUCAAUAAAGAACAUUUUCAAGCA